rfam:Dipodomys ordii contig_41533, whole genome shotgun sequence.
GGUAGCAUGGCUCAAGUGGUAGAGUGCUUGCCUAGCAAGCAUGAGGUCUUGAGUUCAAACCCCAGUACUGCCA